ACGUAGGGUGCAAGCGUUGUUCGGAAUUACUGGGCGUAAAGCGGGAGUAGGCGGAAAGAAAAGUCAGAUGUGAAAUCCCUGUGCUUAACGCAGGAAGAGCAUUUGAAACUAUCUAACUAGAGUAUAUUAUGGGAGCGUGGAAUUCCUAGUGUAGCGGUGAAAUGCGUAGAUAUGAGGAGGAAGACCGGUGGCGAAGGCAGCGCUCUGGGAUAACACUGACGCUGAGGACCGAAAGCGUGGGGAGCAAACAG
rnacentral:rRNA from 1 species